CAGUACUUUUUUAGUUCACCUCAGUGCACAUGGGAAAUCACACUACUUAAUUUUGUAAGUACACCCGCUGUUUGAUUGACAGUACUAUGAUUGACUGCCAAUUUUACUGAGUUUUAUGGCUUCACUUUUUGCUUUGAUAUCAUACCUGCUGGAUCAUGUGGAUAUGAGAAUCUUACUUGUAAAAAAAAAUAAGUAAAUUUCCAAACCUCAUGAGUCUGGAAGGAAACUGGAAAGUAAAAAUAUAUUUCAAUGUGUAAAUGGAAAUAGAAGUACCAGGAAGCUACUAAUUUACCAAAAAUAAUCACAUUUUCCUUUUAAAGACAAUAAGGAAAUGUGGCAGUAGGAAUGCAUAUAUUCAUAAUUUGGAAUAUUUGUAGUAAGACCAAAGUAAGGUGUUUCUCAGAGCUGGGUGUUGGGUUUUAUUUGCCUAUUCAGAAAACAAAGAGAAAGUGGGAUGUAUGAUAAUACAAAGCUAGGUAUGGGAGGGUUGUGUGUUUUGUUUUUUUUUUUUACAGUGCAUGUCAGUCUUAUGCAAGUAGCCCAAGAUAAACUACAGAUAGGAUUUUUUUUUCCUUUAGUGAGAGAGGUAUCUGAGAAGACAUGAAAGAGAGGUAUCUCAGGAGGCUAUGCACAGAAGACAUUGAAAUGUCCAUUGAUUGAUGACCAGUCCAGAAAGUUUUGAAAUACAUUCUUUAAAAGCCCACUGCCAUCAAAUAUGCAGAUCUGUUCAGAAGAGAAGAAAGAAUGCAACCUACAUGAUAUUGUUGUGUUCUUACAGUCCUAGUGCCAUCUUUCCAUUAAACAAAAUAAGAUUCAAACAGGUGAGGUGAUGUGGACAUCAGUGGCUUGAAACUCCACGUCUUUUUACCCAUUUCCUUCAGAGGUCUAGUGUGGAGACACACUGGAAACCAUUAAAAAAGGCUGAACAGACCUAUGGACCCAUUUAUCAGCCUAUGAUUUCUUGCUGCAUUGAAGUUACAGGAACACAAAAGUUCCUUGUUCCAUGCUCCCUAGAACAGGUUUUCCCAAACCCUUAAUAUGUAACAAACAUUUUUAAAAAAAAAAAUCUAGAGGAAAAUUCAGGUCUUUCCAAGCCACUACCCAAACUGGCUGGUGGCAGCCCUGUGCCUGCUACGUGCCAUAUCCUGCCCCUCAUCUUCCUACAGACUAAGACUUGCCAAACUCCCCAAGGUGGUUACUGAGGGUAAAUGUCAGAGAACAGCCAGCUUUUUUUUCAGCAAUCAUUAGCAAAGGAGCACCAUUUCCGGGUUUAAUUUAAAGUUAGCUAGAACAUACUGCAAAGCAUUUUGUAGGAGUUCACAUACCUAUUGGUAACUUCACUGAAUGCUCCGUGAAUUAUCAUCUGUAGAGUGAAUCUCUGUUCCGUAUAGGCUAAGACUGUGAUACCCUUAAUUAUAUGGGAACGAUGGGAUAUGACACACUUCAGUUGUUUUGUUCCACUAUAGAGUAAUAUGACCUGGUUGGAAGUAAGUAACGGGACUCUGACCUGUAAUUCAUAGCAGAGUGUAGUGUACACAUAUUAACUGGCAUGUAAAUAACCUUUUCCUAGCUUGGAUGUUAUGUCUCGUAAGCUACACAUAUAAAACAAUCCUUUUCCUGUGCAGUUAUGAGGAAAAAAAAAAAAAAAAACUUCUGAACUUUCAAGUACUUUUUCCCAUCUGAAA
rnacentral:lncRNA from 1 species